UACAGUUUUCCUACCGACAGCAACGUUGCUGCUUGUUUCCGCUGUGAUACCGUUGAACAACUCGACGGAACUCCGCUACCAUGCCAGUGCAACAAGCUGUUCACAUUGUUUUGGGUUUUUGGCUGCUCUACUUCCAUCAUCUCAGGUAUGGGAACAUCACGGAACAUGAAACUGCGGGUGGUCUUAUAAUUAAAUGCAGUUAGUCCAUGUGAAGAUAUCCAUCUCAUCAGCUUCAUACUUAUUUCUGUCCCCCCAAGAUCAAACAAAAUGAUGCAACAACUUUGCAACAGGGGCUCCCCCAAAACACCAACUGAACAAACACAUCGAGUCAUGAGGGGCCUUUGAAAAGCUCAGCAGGCUACCAGAGCCCCUUGCUCAGCUUACUCCUAUUGUGUGCAUGUGUGUGUGUUUGUGUGCAAGUGUGUGUGUGUGUGUGUGUGUCCAUCUGUGUGUGUAUGUGCAUGUGUGUGUGUCUCUGGUUGUGUGUUUGCAUGUAACCGAAAGAGAGAUCAGGGAAGAGACAGAAAGGAGAGAGGAAGUGGUGGGGAAGGGUGGAAAAAGGGGGGAAAGGCAGAAACCGAGAGGGUUCUGCUCUUUAUUCACAUGGGUAAUCGGGCUGGUGGCCCUAACGAGGCUGUCAUAUUGCCCCUGUAAUGAGCAGAGAAAAGAUGAAUGUAAAAGUGCUCCCAUUACUGUGCUUUCAUCUUCCUGUUCAUUAGCUUAGCAUGAGGUUACAAUACUCCAUUACUCCUCUCCCUAACAACACCAUCUCUGUCCCUGAGAAGGGAGGAAUUUCACUUAGAUGCUGUAACAUUGCACACCCUAAACACAACACAGCCCUAGUUGAAUACACACACACAUACAUACACACACACACACACUCACGGAGAGGGCGAGAGGGAAAGAGGAAGAAUAAAAGAGAGAAGAUUGUGCCUAUUAGUGAAACAAAUUAGAACAUUUCACCAAAAUGAACACCGUCAACACAAUAACAACACACAGCUACAGCCUUGUGUGUGUGUGUGUGUGUGUGUGUGUGUGUGUGUGUGUGUGUGUGCUGUUUUUUCUCAGGGUGCAGACAGUGUGCCUCACACUGGCACUCUGCCUCAGUUUCCACGGCAACUUUAUAAUUGUUUUGGAAGCGGUCCAGACGCGACUGGAUACCAAGGAAUUAUUGAUGUCAAAAAGAAACAUGUAUGAAAUGAGAAGCUAUGUAUCCAGAC
ensembl:lncRNA